GACGAACGCUGGCGGCGUGCUUAACACAUGCAAGUCGAACGGAAAGGCCCUGCUUUUGUGGGGUGCUCGAGUGGCGAACGGGUGAGUAACACGUGAGUAACCUGCCCUUGACUUUGGGAUAACUUCAGGAAACUGGGGCUAAUACCGGAUAGGAGCUCCUGCUGCAUGGCGGGGGUUGGAAAGUUUCGGCGGUUGGGGAUGGACUCGCGGCUUAUCAGCUUGUUGGUGGGGUAGUGGCUUACCAAGGCUUUGACGGGUAGCCGGCCUGAGAGGGUGACCGGCCACAGUGGGACUGAGAUACGGCCCAGACUCCUACGGGAGGCAGCAGUGGGGAAUAUUGCACAAUGGGCGGAAGCCUGAUGCAGCAACGCCGCGUGCGGGAUGACGGCCUUCGGGUUGUAAACCGCUUUCGCCUGUGACGAAGCGUGAGUGACGGUAAUGGGUAAAGAAGCACCGGCUAACUACGUG
rnacentral:rRNA from 1 species